AGAAGAAAGGCACGGGUUAAAUUUCCGUCCCAGCAGGCCGGGGUAAUCACCGCAGGGUGCGAGCGCUUAAUCGGAAUUAUGGGUUAAAAGCGCAUGCAGGGCGGCUUGUUAAGCCAGAAUGUGAAAGCCCGGGGCUCAAACCUGGAAUCGCAUUUGGAAACUGGGCAGGUAGAGUUUUGUAGAGGGGGGGUAGAAAUUUCAGGUGUAGCGGUGAAAUGGUAGAGAUCGAAAGAAAUACCGGUGGGAAGGCGGCCCCCCUGGACAAAGACUGACGCUCAGAUGCGAAAAGCGUGGGGAGCAAACAGGAUUUAGAUACCCUGGUAGUCCACGCCGUAAAACGAUGUUACUUGGAGGUUGGUGUCUUGAACACUGGCUUUCGGAGCUAACGCGUUAAGUAGACCGCCUGGGGAGUACGGUCGCAAGAUUAAAACUCAAAUGAAUUGACGGGGGCCCGCACAAGCGGUGGAGCAUGUGGUUUAAUUCGAUGCAACGCGAAGAACCUUACCUACUCUUGACAUCCAGGGAAUCUAGCAGAGAUGCUGGGGUGCCUUCGGGAACUGUGAGACAGGUGCUGCAUGGCUGUCGUCAGCUCGUGUUGUGAAAUGUUGGGUUAAGUCCCGCAACGAGCGCAACCCUUAUCCUUGUUUGCCAGCACUUCGGGUGGGAACUCCAGGGAGACUGCCGGUGAUAAACCGGAGGAAGGUGGGGACGACGUCAAGUCAUCAUGGCCCUUACGAGUAGGGCUACACACGUGCUACAAUGGCAUAUACAGAGGGCAGCAAGACCGCGAGGUGGAGCGAAUCCCACAAAGUAUGUCGUAGUCCGGAUUGGAGUCUGCAACUCGACUCCAUGAAGUCGGAAUCGCUAGUAAUCGUGGAUCAGAAUGCCACGGUGAAUACGUUCCCGGGCCUUGUACACACCGCCCGUCACACCAUGGGAGUGGGCUGCACCAGAAGUAGAUAGCAUAACGUUCCAGAGGUAACCUUGCAGAGUGGGGG
rnacentral:rRNA from 1 species